AUUCAGUUAGUUUAUUAAAAUAUUAAAUUGUGGAUUUAAAGAUAUAUUUAUAUAUAUUGAAUA
rnacentral:tRNA from 1 species